GACGUAGGGCGCGAGCGUUGUCCGGAUUUAUUGGGCGUAAAGAGCUCGUAGGCGGCUCGUUGCGUCGGCUGUGGAAAACCCGACGGCUCAACCUCGGGCCUGCAGUGGGUACGGGCAGGCUAGAGUUCGGCAGGGGGAGACUGGAAUUCCUGGUGUAGCGGUGAAAUGCGCAGAUAUCAAGAGGAACACCGGUGGCGAAGGCGGGUCUCUGGGCCGAUACUGACGCUGAGGAGCGAAAGCGUGGGGAGCGAACAGG
rnacentral:rRNA from 1 species